UGCAGUCGAGCGGAUGAGGGAGCUUGCUCCUGGAUUCAGCGGCGGACGGGUGAGUAAUGCCUAGGAAUCUGCCUGGUAGUGGGGGAUAACGUCCGGAAACGGGCGCUAAUACCGCAUACGUCCUGAGGGAGAAAGUGGGGGAUCUUCGGACCUCACGCUAUCAGAUGAGCCUAGGUCGGAUUAGCUAGUUGGUGGGGUAAAGGCCUACCAAGGCGACGAUCCGUAACUGGUCUGAGAGGAUGAUCAGUCACACUGGAACUGAGACACGGUCCAGACUCCUACGGGAGGCAGCAGUGGGGAAUAUUGGACAAUGGGCGAAAGCCUGAUCCAGCCAUGCCGCGUGUGUGAAGAAGGUCUUCGGAUUGUAAAGCACUUUAAGUUGGGAGGAAGGGCAGUAAGUUAAUACCUUGCUGUUUUGACGUUACCAACAGAAUAAGCACCGGCUAACUUCGUGCCAGCAGCCGCGGUAAUACGAAGGGUGCAAGCGUUAAUCGGAAUUACUGGGCGUAAAGCGCGCGUAGGUGGUUCAGCAAGUUGGAUGUGAAAUCCCCGGGCUCAACCUGGGAACUGCAUCCAAAACUACUGAGCUAGAGUACGGUAGAGGGUGGUGGAAUUUCCUGUGUAGCGGUGAAAUGCGUA
rnacentral:rRNA from 1 species